AAUAAAAUUAUUUAAAGGAAUCUGUGUCUUGAUUGCCUUUCAGGGAGAUGGUAUAACUCUGUUUACCUGUGUACACAAAUGUGUUGUGUAGUGGGGGCAGAAGAGUGGAAAAACCACAAACCUGUCAACUCUAAUGAAAUUGUCACCAGUGACAGGAAGCGGAACUGAGACUGUCACAAGAUGAGAUUUCUGAUGUCCCCAUUGUUUGUGUCUCUGUGGGGUGUUGCAUUUAGCAGUGUUUGGAUCGUGCAGUGGUCGACCAGAGAGAAAUAUGAAGUUGGAGAUUCUGCAGUUCUUCAGUGCAACAUCAGAUCUCAUCAAGAAACACUUCGUGGAUGCAGAAUAUCCUGGACUAUUCUCAACCAGAGCAACAAAAAAAAGACAAAAGACAUUUUAACAACAGAGAAAUAUCAACACAGAAUCAAAAUGAAUUCAAAUAGUACUUUUAGUGUACUUACCUUUGACAACCUUUCAACCAAUGACACAGAACUGCUGUUUUGUACAGCAUCCUGCUUCAUUGAUGGAAACCUGCAGAAGAUCUCUGGCAAUGGGACUUCACUGAUUAUAAUUGAACAACAACCAGAGCCUGCAUAUCCAUGGCUGAAAUAUCUCCUCUUCUUUGUUAAUCUGCUAGUCUUGUUAAUAGCCACCGUGAUCUGUGUAUUAAUCACUCGAAAGAGGAUGCGAAAUGAGACCAGAACACUGUAAAGACAAUAUUCUUUACUCUGUACAAAAUUGUGCAUCAUUCCCUACUUCUCUACUGUCAGUAUCUGUUAUAGGCUGUGACUGAUGAGAAACAGGCAACGUUAUUGCAAUAUCAUUAAUUACAACAAUGACUGGUAUAGUAAAGAAAACUGUUACAAUUGAUUUUCAUGUUUAACCUUCCUAUUGUGUUUUAAGGCAAACUUUUCUCUAAUGUUUCUAAAAUACCAAUAAAUUUGAUAGUUUUCUCAUGAAGCUUGAGGAUUUUCUCAGUAGUGAUGAUAUGAAUGUGUAAAAAUUAAGAUGUCCAGUGUGAUAUUUGUAUAAAAUCUCUGCAAAGUUUGGGUACGAAGAUAAAAUUUCACUGUUAAAUUUGAUCCUGUAGAUCAGAAUGGCAAUCGAGGAUACACACAGUUACACACACAUACACACUGUCCUUUGGAUCUAUAUGUUUAGCAUAAUCCAGAAAUGGAAAGCAUAAUCCAGACCAGAUCAGGAGAAGGAUGAUAUAUAGUGCAAAUCAAGUUUAUGGCAGUAACCUAUUCAUGUGUGUUUUGUUAUAAUGAAUGUCCUAUUUUAAGGAAAAAUGGUCAUUUGAGGCAAUAAAACACAAUGAAAUAAGUUAAUCUCUACGCUGUUGAUGCAUAAGUUGUUUCAAAUAGACUCAAAUAAAAUUGUACAUACGUUCUAGAAAUUUUGAGAUAAUUUAGACAUACAGGAUCAACACUGACCUGCAAAUAUCAAUGAUGUAACUGAUUUGCGAAUAUAUUGGGAGGGUUAAAAUGCUUAUUGUUUAUGUUACUUAUUGUUUAAGUGACCCUUAUUAGGGUCCGCACAAUGGGGAAAUUUCACAACCGCAUUUAACUCAUUCGUGCAGUGAAACACCACAUACACACUAGUGAACACACACACUAAGGGGCAAUGAGCACACUUGCCAGGGAGCAGUUGGGGAUUAGGUGCCUUGCUCAACGGCAUUUCAGUCUCAUACUGUUGGCUUAGGGGAUCAAGCUGGCAACUUUCUGGUCACGAGGCUGGUUCCUUAACCUCCAGCAAUUGGUGUAAAGAGAGGAGUAAUUUUUAUAACACUUUCAUGACUUAUGAAGCCUAACUGCUGAUGUGAAUUCUGGCUCCUUUCAGCGAGUCACAACAAAUGGCUUAACUAACCAGAAAGAGUCAUUCAUUCAGUUGCAUAAUUUAUUUUUCCUUUCCCAAAAUCAGCCAAACUGAGCCAUAUAUUGAAAUUUUUUUCUUUCUGUCUAUCAUUUACAUGCUCAAUUAAACUUGAAUCUACCUUGUAAUGAAUUCUAAUGUUAAGUUUUAAAAAUUGCAUCUUGUUUGUUGUAGGAAUCUGUUUACGUAAAUGUUUUAACAUCGAUACUUCACAUGUGAAUUCCUGUUUAUGUUACUCUACGUGCAUUCAAGUCUCUGUAUUCUCACUCUACUCCCUCUACUGUUUAACAUUUAUUCUGAUACUUCAAUAUACUAUAUGAUGUACAUCAUUAUAACAAGCAUAAAUUCUGUAGGACCUUAGUGCUCGUGAUUCCUAGGUGACACGCAGGUCAGGAUCAAAUAAAUCUCUCAUCAUACUUGCUGAAUUUUGUUCCAAAUUGUUAUGCUACACUAAAGAGGUCAGAUGAUAUUAAGAGAACUUGCACUGCAUGUAUUUAACAGCUUUAGAUCUACAGAAUACUCAUUCAUUUUUAUUUAGAGUAUCAUAAACUGUAAGUUUUUCUCACCUCUCUCAGUUCAUGCUUCUUUGCUUGCUAACACAGAGUCAGAACAUUUCACAUACAAAGAGCCAACUGUUUCCAAGAGUUACAUGGAAAAAUAUUUGAUUUAAUUAUUAAAUGAUUCAAGUAAUUUGAUGUGCCUCUAAUGGUCACUAGAGGGCCUGCAAAAAGAGCAUACAUAAUGUGGAAUUAUUAGCCUUAUUAUUGUUCAUAUUACUCUUUUAAGAUUUAUUAAAGAAAGCUUAUGUUUAGCAUUGAAAGCUGGUAUAUGGUAUAGAUUGGUGAGCUGGGCUAACGCACACAUUGGAGGCUUGAUGGAAUCUACUGAUAUCUUGGGUAAGGGAGGAGCGGUCAUGCGACUAUAAAAAAGGAGUCAGAUGAGAAGGGGACAGAGCUUACCUGGG